UCAUAUAACAAACUGGUAGCGUUGUUGUACCGUGGCCAGUUGACUACGAAUCGCGGACGCUGACGACAAAUUCAUACAAGUUCGCAAGGAUCCAUGGUAGUUAUUGUGGGCUAUAUCCGAGGAUGAAAGCACGGGCGCAAACGUUCCGCACUCGAAACAAUAGCACACCUCUCAUACCUUCACGUUGCCGCUAAGCGUACGAGCAACUCCCGAUCCAUCCACCUUUCCUCGGUGCGGGUCAAGCAAGAGGGCGCAAGACAGCUCAAUGAAGACAAGCACGUACGCCUAUAGCAAACAAUUCAUAAAAGCCGAUAUCCUUUUCGCUAUGACCAUGCUUUCAUGUAGCGAUAUUCACAUGAUGUCGAUGUCUUUCUGUGAGAUCUCCGCGUCGUGUACUAAAGGCGGGCCUGAACAAGACAACGGGGCAACGGCAAAGUGGCAAAGCAAAAGGCUGACGACGUAGAAACACCAAUCAGGGGAAAGCUUCGUCUCAGUCGGCCUCGCCCUACUUUCCCCCGAGCGGCGUCCCAUUUGAGAAUAGGACAUAAGGGGACCGGUGCGUAAAGCGAGAGGAUAGAAAAAAGCGUACGAGAGGAAAGCAGAGCCUUGGAAUAUCGUCGA